CUCUCUGUCUCACACACACAGACCAACACACAGACAUGUAUAUGCUCAUUAUUGCUCUUCAAACUGAUGGUCAAAUUUCCAAGCACCACCUGAACGCCUCAUUUGUUUUUAACCCAUCACGGGACCAACUGUCGUCAUUCCGCUUUGCUCUCUGCUGUGGAACCUGACUGACAUCUGUGCUUUGACUGUGUGCAGAAGAAGAACAAGGACGAGAUCUCCAGUCUUCUGUCUCACAUCCCAACCCCC